rnacentral:rRNA from 1 species
CCUACGGGCGGCAGCAGUGGGGAAUAUUGGGCAAUGGGCGCAAGCCUGCCCCAGCAACGCCGCGUGAGGGAAGACUGCCCUAUGGGUUGUAAACCUCUUUUGUCAGGGAGCAACGCCGGCUACGUGUAGCCGGACUGAGAGUACCUGAAGAAAAGGCAUCGGCAAACUCCGUGCCAGCAGCCGCGGUAAUACGGAGGAUGCGAGCGUUAUCCGGAUUUAUUGGGUUUAAAGGGUGCGUAGGCGGAAUGCCAAGUCAGCGGGAAAUUCGCGGGGCUCAACCUCGCUCCGCCGUUGAAACUGGCGUUCUUGAGUUGGCGAGAAGUAUGCGGAAUGCGUGGUGUAGCGGUGAAAUGCAUAGAUAUCACGCAGAACUCCGAUUGCGAAGGCAGCAUACCGGCGCCCAACUGACGCUGAAGCACGAAAGCGUGGGGAGCAAACAGGAUUAGAUACCCCGGUAGUC